rnacentral:rRNA from 1 species
GACGAACGCUGGCGGCGUGCCUAAUACAUGCAAGUAGAACGCUGAAGAGAGGAGCUUGCUCUUCUUGGAUGAGUUGCGAACGGGUGAGUAACGCGUAGGUAACCUGCCUGGUAGCGGGGGAUAACUAUUGGAAACGAUAGCUAAUACCGCAUAAAAUUGAUUAUCGCAUGAUAAUUAAUUGAAAGGUGCAAAUGCAUCACUACCAGAUGGACCUGCGUUGUAUUAGCUAGUUGGUGGGGUAACGGCUCACCAAGGCGACGAUACAUAGCCGACCUGAGAGGGUGAUCGGCCACACUGGGACUGAGACACGGCCCAGACUCCUACGGGAGGCAGCAGUAGGGAAUCUUCGGCAAUGGACGGAAGUCUGACCGAGCAACGCCGCGUGAGUGAAGAAGGUUUUCGGAUCGUAAAGCUCUGUUGUAAGAGAAGAACGAGUGUGAGAGUGGAAAGUUC